ACUCCUACGGGAGGCAGCACGUGUGGGAAUAUUGGACAAUGGGCGCAAGCCUGAUCCAGCAAUGCCGCGCUGAGUGAUGAAGGCCUUAGGGUUGUAAAGCUCUUUCGCACGCGACGAUGAUGACGGUAGCGUGAGAAGAAGCCCCGGCUAACUUCGUGCCAGCAGCCGCGGUAAUA
rnacentral:rRNA from 1 species